CACUGUUCCCUCAUCAUGUCUCGUUUCCAAUUAUUAUUAUGCAGCUUGGUUUUUGAAUGUGCUGAAUUAUUUUUUAGAUGAAACGACACGUCUGAUUUGCCUUCAUAUUUUUUUAAUCAAUCCAAUUUUUAAGAUUCCUGCACUGCUGUUUUGCCUCGCUGCUUCCCUGCACUUGGGUCCACCUUCUUGCCUGCUUUAACACCACGAAAACAUCAACCUGACACACCGAUUAUUCUGCACAUAGUCUCUUGGAGUGGCCGGAUUUCCAUUCAUGUAGCUGGGGACGCAUUAUCAUCCAGCGCGGUAGCGCCGGAACGGAGCGACCAGCAUGCCGCUCGUUGCGUGGGAUUAAAGUGGAGAGGCCACCGAAGAUGAAUCAAUCAAUUUGAGGAGAACUUUCAGAAGACGCAUUCAAAAGUGUAACUGUGAAACUGCCCUGUUUCAAUACAUACCUACAACUACCUAUUUCUUGCUAGUAAUAUUAAAAAACCGGCUGGCGCCAUACUCCUCUCCCAGGCCUAGCCGUGGAGACGAACGACACCAGAUAAGGAGGGGAAAGUUACCAUCCCGGCCCAGGAUCUGACUCUACCAUGGACCCAUACAUACAAAAACUUUGUGUUACUCGGCAGCUUUUGUCUUCUCCUUUGGCUAUCCUGGCAGAAGACACACAUCUCGUGUGCGGCAGAUACCUAGAUAAGACCCGGUCGUCUGUACUGCACAUUCCUUUGUAAUAAAUCCAUUAGCUAUUUUUUUCUAAUCAUUGGUCAUA